rnacentral:rRNA from 1 species
UACGUAGGGGGCGAGCGUUAUCCGGAUUCACUGGGUGUAAAGGGAGCGUAGACGGCCAUGCAGGCCAGGGGUGAAAGCCCGGGGCCCAACCCCGGGACUGCCCUUGGAACUGCAUGGCUGGAGUGCGGGAGGGGCAGGCGGAAUUCCUGGUGUAGCGGUGAAAUGCGUAGAUAUCAGGAGGAACACCGGCGGCGAAGGCGGCCUGCUGGACUGCGACUGACGUUGAGGCUCGAAAGCGUGGGGAGCGAACAGG